rnacentral:snoRNA from 1 species
UACAAAGGUAGGUGUAUUUGUUCAACUGUUGGACAAAGGCUUGAAAGACAGGUGCAAAAAUAAAGCAUCUUGUACAACCAAUAACUCAUUGUUUAGUAUGAGUUUUGACACAUACAAGAGGGAAUU